rnacentral:ncRNA from 1 species
GAUAACUAUUUGCAGGACGGUUCCUCGUAGGAGGAUGAAAAGGGAAUGUGGAAGGGCUAGGAGCGCUAGCCCGGCCGCAGCUGCCCCCGCAACUGUGAGCGGCAAGCCAAAGGCCACAAUGUCACUGGGGCAAACCCGGGAAGACAACCUUUAGGCAGCGACCCGCGAGCCAGGAGACCUGCCGUCAUAGGGCCUUGAUC